rnacentral:rRNA from 1 species
GAUGAACGCUAGCGGGAGGCCUAACACAUGCAAGCCGAGCGGUAGAGUCGCUUCGGAGCCUUGAGCGCGGCGCACGGGGGCGGAACACGUGUGCAACCUGCCUUUGUCUGGGGGAUAGCCUUUCGAAAGGAAGAUUAAUACCCCAUAAUAUACUGGAUGGCAUCAUCUGGUAUUGAAAACUCCGGUGGAUAGAGAUGGGCACGCGCAAGAUUAGAUAGUUGGUGAGGUAACGGCUCACCAAGGCAGCGAUCUUUAGGGGGCCUGAGAGGGUGAUCCCCCACACUGGUACUGAGGCACGGACCACACUCGUACGGGAGGCAGCAGUAUGGAAGAUUGGACAAUGGGUGAGAGCCUGAUCCAGCCGUCCCGCGUGAAGGAGCACGGCCCUAUGGGAUGUAAACUUCUUUUGUAUAGGGAUAAUCCUAGAUACGUGUAUCUAGCUGAAGGUACUAGACGAAUAAGCACCGGCUAACUCCGUG